rnacentral:rRNA from 1 species
UAACACGUGGGUAACCUGCCCAUCAGAAGGGGAUAACACUUGGAAACAGGUGCUAAUACCGUAUAACAAUCGAAACCGCAUGGUUUUGAUUUGAAAGGCGCUUUCGGGUGUCGCUGAUGGAUGGACCCGCGGUGCAUUAGCUAGUUGGUGAGGUAACGGCUCACCAAGGCCACGAUGCAUAGCCGACCUGAGAGGGUGAUCGGCCACAUUGGGACUGAGACACGGCCCAAACUCCUACGGGAGGCAGCAGUAGGGAAUCUUCGGCAAUGGACGAAAGUCUGACCGAGCAACGCCGCGUGAGUGAAGAAGGUUUUCGGAUCGUAAAACUCUGUUGUUAGAGAAGAACAAGGAUGAGAGUAACUGUUCAUCCCUUGACGGUAUCUAACCAGAAAGCCACGGCUAACUACGUGCCAGCAGCCGCGGUAAUACGUAGGUGGCAAGCGUUGUCCGGAUUUAUUGGGCGUAAAGCGAGCGCAGGCGGUUUCUUAAGUCUGAUGUGAAAGCCCCCGGCUCAACCGGGGAGGGUCAUUGGAAACUGGGAGACUUGAGUGCAGAAGAGGAGAGUGGAAUUCCAUGUGUAGCGGUGAAAUGCGUAGAUAUAUGGAGGAACACCAGUGGCGAAGGCGGCUCUCUGGUCUGUAACUGACGCUGAGGCUCGAAAGCGUGGGGAGCAAACAGGAUUAGAUACCCUGGUAGUCCACGCCGUAAACGAUGAGUGCUAAGUGUUGGAGGGUUUCCGCCCUUCAGUGCUGCAGCUAACGCAUUAAGCACUCCGCCUGGGGAGUACGACCGCAAGGUUGAAACUCAAAGGAAUUGACGGGGGCCCGCACAAGCGGUGGAGCAUGUGGUUUAAUUCGAAGCAACGCGAAGAACCUUA